UACGAAGGGGCUAGCGUUGCUCGGAAUCACUGGGCGUAAAGCGCACGUAGGCGGAUUGUUAAGUCAGGGGUGAAAUCCUGGAGCUCAACUCCAGAACUGCCUUUGAUACUGGCGAUCUCGAGUCCGGGAGAGGUGAGUGGAACUGCGAGUGUAGAGGUGAAAUUCGUAGAUAUUCGCAAGAACACCAGUGGCGAAGGCGGACUCACUGGCCCGGUACUGACGCUGAGGUGCGAAAGCGU
rnacentral:rRNA from 1 species